rnacentral:tRNA from 1 species
GCAGUGGCGCAAUUGGCAGCGCACCGGGCUCCAAAACCGGCGGUUGAGGGUUCGAGUCCCUCCUGCC